AUCUAUAAGUAGAUUUAUUUUAUUUUCAAUGCAAACGUUGUCGCUUAGUAAUCAUCUAAGGAGAAAUGUAUAACAUGAUAUGAUGUAUAAUGUUGUCUUCUUUCCUUGGGAUUUGAGAACUAGGAAUUUAGACCUUUUCUUGGGAUCAUCUUCAACUAGUUCAAUCUCAUGUGAUCGAAGUGAACUCAUUAGCUCUUUUAAAGUUUGAAAUCAGAGGGAAGAUGAUUAGAGACUUUCUUGAGAUCUUUAGACAUGUAGCUGAUUCAAUAUGUGUAUCAAAGGAUGUGCAAAUUCCUUUGUCUUCAGAGUGUUGACUUUUUCAUAGGAUUGAAGUUCAUAGCCAGACGAUCAGACGUUUAAUGUGAUUGUCAGAGGCAGAGGUAGAAGAAUUCUUAUCACGCUUAUUAGAGGUAGAAAAAUUCUUGUCACGCUUAUUAGAGGCAAAGGGAGACUAAUAGAAUUCACGUUUGAAUUCAUCAGAGGCAAAAUAGUUGCAAUAAUACUUUGCAUUGUUUGAGACACUUUAAUGCAAUGUUGAUUCGCGUAUUAGACUUAGUGAAGAGAGGGAAAUACAUUUGUAUCUUUGUCCUCCUUUAUUUAUUAGAGGAUACAAUGAGAGUCCAUUGAUCGAGCAUAUGAAUUCAAACAUGCACACUUAAAAUCAACGUUAGAGCAUCAAAUUGAUCCCACACACGAUUUUGUUAUCAUCAAAAUAAUUGAGAGACUUAUUUCCUCAAA